GAAGCCGUCCGCGGCCCCCACCCCUCCCGCCUGGCUCGGGCGCCAGGAGAAGCGGACAUUUUAGCCUCCUCUGCAAUCCGCUCUCUCGUUCGUGUCCUUCUCCCCCCUCUCGUCCGGUUGGAGUGCAGUGGUGCUGUGUCUGGAGUUUGUUCCUGCCGUUGGGUUUGUGGUCUUGCUGACUUCAAGAAUGAAGCCACGGACCUUCACGAGAAAUAUUACGUUGUAUGGAUGUACCACUGUUUGUUUAUCCAUUCUUCAGGUGAAGGACAUGUGGGUUGUGCCCAGCGCGGGCUGAAUAAAGAUACACACACAGGCACAUUGGAAACGCAGUAGAAAAUGGCUGCCAAUUUAAAACCAGAAGUUAAGAAGAGCAAACUCGAAUGUACAGCAAGAGAGCUUCAGGCUGGACUGGCUUCCAGCAGAAGUGGGACUGGAAACCUCGGAUUCUAUUGUCUCUUCUCUGUGAAGUGGGAAAACAUGUCAGUAUCUGAACUUGAGCUUGGUAAUUACUGCUCAUUUCUCAACCUUUUCCAAGCCACGUAACUCCCCUAAGGCUUAGUUUUCUUAUCUGUGAAUUGCGAGAUGGUAUGUUCUUCAUCACGAGGUUGCUAUAAAGACUGAAUGAGAUAAUGUGUGUGGAAGCACCAAGCAUGGUCCUUGGCAUGCAGUAGAUGCUCAAUAAAUAUGAACUGGAGUACACAUGCACUCUGCUCCCUCCUGCCCCCUCAUAGUGCCUGGUCUGGCUCUGGGCUCCCUGGGAUAUGGCAGGUUACCAAAGCAGGCACUAAGGCAUGUCUACCCUUGGUACCUUAUUACCUAGGUUUCCUGUGCCACCUGCUUCAUUCUAAUCGCAGAUUUCAGGCUCCAUUCAAACAGAACCUCACUUCUGCUAGCUGUCAUGCUCAAAAAGGGACUGAUGACCACUGAAGCAGGCUAUGAUAGUGAUUUAUGAAUGUCAUUCCUCCAGACAGCAUUUGGAUUAUUACUGGUUUUGCUUUUAUUUUAUUUGGCG
rnacentral:lncRNA from 10 species